rnacentral:rRNA from 1 species
AUGAACGCUGGCGGCGUGCUUAAUACAUGCAAGUCGAACGGGGAUCUAGCAAUAGGUCUUAGUGGCGAACGGGUGAGUAACGCGUUGGUGACCUGCCCCGAAGCGUGGGAUAACAGUUCGAAAGGACUGCUAAUACCGCAUGUGGUCAUAGUAGUUAGAGAGCUAUGACAAAAGGAGAGAUCCACUUUGGGAGGGACCUGCGUCCCAUCAGCUAGUUGGUAGGGUAAAGGCCUACCAAGGCGAAGACGGGUAGGGGGCCUGAGAGGGUGACCCCCCACACUGGCACUGAAACACGGGCCAGACACCUACGGGUGGCAGCAGUAGGGAAUAUUGCACAAUGGGCGAAAGCCUGAUGCAGCAACGCCGCGUGCGCGAAGAAGGCCUUCGGGUCGUAAAGCGCUUUUCGGGGAGAUGAGGAAGGACAGUAUCCCCGGAAUAAGGCUCGGCUAACUACGU